rnacentral:tRNA from 1 species
GUGGAGCUAGCUCAUCAGGUAGAGCGCCGGCUUGUGACGCCGGAGGCGACGGGUUCGAGACCCGUGCUUCACCCCA